GUGCGUCAAACCCCACUGAAACAGCUUGGACAAUAAGAAGUAAAAAAAGCCAAGAGGCUGUGAUGAUAGCUUUCUUGGCUGCGACAAUAGCUUUCUGAGCUUGACUAAGGCUUUGAGAACCCCAUACACUUCUUGGUGGGGCGAUCCGGAGGGCCUGUGGGAGGGAGAGAUCUGUUUGGUUCUUCUUUAAGACUUUCACAGGCAACUCUGGUUACAGCCAUGAAGUUUGUCAUAUCUCACCCGAUCUGCAAUCCUUUGCAGAUCUGAGCCUCAACCUUUCUUGCAAUAGUAUCUACUACCUCCAUACCAAAAAGAUUGUCCACAGUCCGCAAAAUGAGAACUUAAAAAUCAAUGAGUUCUUUUAAUUUAUCAAAACAGGUUUUGCGAACCGGACAAUCUUUUUGGGACAGAGGGAGUAUAUGCAUUUGUAUAAUGGUAUGUAAUUGAUUUACUGUAGCAAAUCUGGGUUAAAUUUCAUUUUGGGAUUUAAUUUUUCUAUUGUGCAGGACCAAGUUCGAGUCUUGGAACUGUGUUGAUUCCCAUGUAAUUGGUUUGGUGUUUGACUUUUAUGUUUCUUUGAAAUAUAGAUAUGAAACGGUCGGGUAAUUGGCCAUUUUUGUUCCCAUACGUUAUUCUGCUUCUAUUUUCUUUUAACAGAAAGUUGCUUCGUCUUGUGAUCUGUAAGGAGUUGAAGUGUGACUGAACCAGAGAAGUCCCUAAAUUUAUGGGGGAAUUUUGGAGGCAAAAAGAGAACAAAGAUCGAGGUACAUUUGUGUUUGCUAGAGCAUAUCUCCAUUUGUGCUUUUUGUUAAUUGCAAAGCCAAAAUCUGACACCAAUCCUUCAUAUUCUGUUAGAGCUCUCCUAUCGUGUUAUGGGCUCCCAAAUAGAAAAAUGAAAAGAAAAAAAAAAAGGAAGAAGAAGAAAAGAUUGCCAUUUCAUACUCAAAGCAACAGUGCGAAAUUAUCAUAUUUUGGCUUUGCAAAAUUGAAUCACUACACUGCCAAAUGCAUUCUUUAGCAUUCGAUGAUUUUCCCUGUUUAGGUAAGAGAAAAAAAUCUAUGUCCAGUGGCUGUUUCCAAUUUCAUUUUCUCCUUUCUCCUAGUUUGAGUUACCAUCGGCAUAGAACUUCCCUUAGGGGCAGCUUUCUUGCUGACACGAGAUUUAAAACACAUGAUUCGUUGUGUGAGUUGCGUGAUUACGCUUGCUUCUCAUUUCUAAUGCAAUAACCUAACUAGCUUGUUGCUUCUCAUUUCUAAAACACGCCCUUAUCUCCUAAUCAGUGUUAUGGGCCUGAAUCCGAAGUCAUAUCCUUCGCACAAUACUCCCCUUUUAUUCUUCGUGUUUCUUUGAACUCAUAACAGUGUUAUUGGCAUUGAUUUUGGUAAAUUGGGAUUUAUGGUUAACUUGUAGUAGAAUAUUUUACGUUAGCUGAGAGAUGAUGCUGUUCGGCAUGUUCGGCAUUGUCAAUUGAGCCGGUUAGAGAACUUGGAUGGUAAUUACAUGAUUUUUAAGAGGACAUUGAUUUGGAAAUUUAUACGAGACCUUUUCGCAAGUGUUGAUUGUCUGUAGAUUGCUACUAUUACAACAUUAGCAGCAUUGUCGACAUCGUUCUAGAAAAUUAUACAAAAGUUAGUUGGUCCAUUGGGCGGGGUGCACUUAGGAGAUGCAAGCUUAUGUUGGUAACUGUUAUUUUUACAUGUGUUUUUGCUGGCUCUCUAUGUUGCAGCAUCUCAGUGUCAAAAGAAGAUUUCUGCAUCUUUCAAAGGUCGUGCUCGGAGCUUUCCCAAACACACUACGAUAUGUGUAUAACUACUAUGUUGUGUUCAGUCUGUAUGGAUUUUGGUUUCUGGGCUAUUUGUCUAAGUGUUGAUUUCUUGGUUGUUAUUUGAGUAGUGUCAUUAGGAAAGUAAAAACGCUUGACAUGCCAUGUAUGGAGAUUUGAUUCAGGAUGUAGUAGUGGAAAUUUUGAGGUUAAUUCUUUUUCGAAAA